CCAAUUGGACGUGUAAUAGCCAAGAACAUUGAUUCUUGGCCAUGGCGGUUUUCUCUGAGAAUUGGCUAAAAUUAGGACGUUUCGAUACAGGGAAGGAGGCUCUCUUUCUUCUACAACUCAAGGGGAGGAACAGAGCUUCAUACCUCCAAUUUGCAGGCUUCCAUGGCGGACUGAGAAGCUAUGAGAAGACUAAGUUGGGGAUGAUGAUCUCGAUCUCUCGAGUUGGUUGGCUGUGAGAGGGUCAAGAUCCAAGGAACCUAGGUGAGGAAACGAUGGCCAGUGUCCAAAGUUUAGUGGGUCCAUUGGUGAGGGGUGCGACGGUAGCCCUACAACUCGGUGACGACAAUCCCCUAUGCGAUGGAUGGUUCGCAGUGUAGCUUCACCAAUCCUCUCUUUUAACAUCUUGAACCUAUUGAGUCAUGCUAAUAUUAGCGCUAUUGAAUAUCUUCCUUCUUUGUAAAGAACAUUUAAUGCUAUUUGUUUUCAAGAAAAAGUGUGAAUGAGUGGAUGAUGUUAUGCCACAAAAUUCAACUUUGUUGUGAUGAUUGUGCCCAGAAUUUAGUUUGUG